rnacentral:rRNA from 2 species
CGGAUGAAGRGGAGCUUGCUCCUUGGAUUCAGCGGCGGACGCGUGAGUAACACGUGGGCAACCUGCCUGUAAGACUGGGAUAACUCCGGGAAACCGGGGCUAAUACCGGAUAACUUCUUUYCCCGCAUGGGGAGAGGUUGAAAGACGGUUAURCUGUCACUUACAGAUGGGCCCGCGGCGCAUUAGCUAGUUGGUGGGGUAACGGCCUACCAAGGCGACGAUGCGUAGCCGACCUGAGAGGGUGAUCGGCCACACUGGGACUGAGACACGGCCCAGACUCCUACGGGAGGCAGCAGUAGGGAAUCUUCCGCAAUGGACGAAAGUCUGACGGAGCAACGCCGCGUGAGUGACGAAGGCCUUCGGGUCGUAAAACUCUGUUAUCAGGGAAGAACAAGCGUCGGUUAACUGMCGGUGCCUUGACGGUACCUGACCAGAAAGCCACGGCUAACUACGUGCCAGCAGCCGCGGUAAUACGUAGGUGGCAAGCGUUGUCCGGAAUUAUUAGGCGUAAAGCGCGCGCAGGCGGCUUCUUAAGUCUGAUGUGAAAGCCCACGGCUCAACCGUGG